rnacentral:rRNA from 1 species
UUGAAAGGGAAACGAUUGAAGUCAGUCGUACUUGCGGGUAAUCAGCCUUUUGGGUGUGAUUCUGUGGAGCGUGGGGAGUUAAACGCCUUCAUGCCUGCGUAUUCGUGCACUUUGGGUGUACUUGCCCGUGUGGUAGGUUAACAUCAAUUUUGAUCAUCAUAAAAUGGCUGGAGGAAUGUAGCUUCGAUCUCGUAUUGAAGUGUUAUAGCCUUCGGCAGAUGUGAUGAUCGGGAUUGAGGAUUGCAACGGAUACCCUUCGGGGCUACCUGUCUGAUCUCUGAUUGUUGCUCUGGUGCCGAAAGCGUGCUUACGGUUAUCAAAGUCGAUGGUCAACAGGUUAGAACGGGUUAAAUUCGUUAAGGAUGUUGACGUA